ensembl:ncRNA T28B11.2 ncRNA
GCUUGGCUCCUAAUCGUAGAAAGCUAAAGUCAAUCCAAAGGGGUCGUUCAUUCAUCUAUUCUAUUCUAUCCCAUUCCAUUAAGAUCCUCAUUUGAAACGCAUUAGGUCCACGGAUCCUGGUGGUAUGGGUGAAAGUGUGAAGA